rnacentral:rRNA from 1 species
CCUACGGGAGGCAGCAGUGAGGAAUAUUGGUCAAUGGGCGUAAGCCUGAACCAGCCAAGUCGCGUGAGGGAUGAAGGUUCUAUGGAUCGUAAACCUCUUUUAUAAGGGAAUAAAGUGCGGGACGUGUCCCGUUUUGUAUGUACCUUAUGAAUAAGGAUCGGCUAACUCCGUGCCAGCAGCCGCGGUAAUACGGAGGAUCCGAGCGUUAUCCGGAUUUAUUGGGUUUAAAGGGUGCGUAGGCGGGCGUUUAAGGCAGCGGUGAAAGUCUGCGGCUCAACCAUAGAAUUGCCGUUGAAACUGGGAGCCUUGAGUAUGUUUGAGGCAGGCGGAAUGCGUGGUGUAGCGGUGAAAUGCUUAGAUAUCACGCAGAACCCCGAUUGCGAAGGCAGCCUACCAAGCCAUGACUGACGCUGAUGCACGAAAGCGUGGGGAUCAAACAGGAUUAGAUACCCGAGUAGUC